CCACGCAGCCGGGGAGAUAGCGGUGCCCUGAACCUGCAAUCCGCUCCAGCAGGGGUGAUACCUUGCCUCGGGCAACACGUUGCGGAGCUGCCUUAUGUAAGUGGCGUUGACGUUUGGGUCUUACGCAACGGGAAUCUGUGAACCGUGUCAGGGCAGGAAUGCAGCAGCACUAAGCGGAACCUUCCGUGUGCCGUGAGGCAGCCUGGACCGAGUUAACUGCAUGAGUAACGUCCGUGGCGAUUGCACAAAGCAAGGUGCGUGG
rfam:Clostridiales bacterium 1_7_47_FAA supercont2.6 genomic scaffold, whole genome shotgun sequence.